GCCUAAAGCGUCCGUAGCCGGCUAUGUUAGUUUUCGGUUAAAUCCAUGUGCUCAACGUACAGGCUGCCGGAAAUACUGCAGAUCUAGGGAGUGGGAGAGGUAGACGGUACUCGGGAGGAAGUGGUAAAAUGCUUUGAUCUCUCGAUGACCACCUGUGGCGAAGGCGGUCUACCAGAACACGUCCGACGGUGAGGGAUGAAAGCUGGGGGAGCAAACCGGAUUAGAUACCCGGGUAGUCCCAGCUGUAAACGAUGCAGACUCGGUGAUGCGCUGGCUUGUGGCCAGUGCAGUGCCGCAGGGAAGCCGUUAAGUUUGCCGCCUGGGAAGUACGUACGCAAGUAUGAAACUUAAAGGAAUUGGCGGGGGAGCACCACAAGGGGUGAAGCCUGCGGUUCAAUUGGAGUCAACGCCAGAAAUCUUACCCGAAGAGACAGCAGAAUGAAGGUCAAGCUGGAGACUUUACCAGACAAGCUGAGAAGUGGUGCAUGGCCGUCGCCAGCUCGUGCCGUGAGACGUCCUGUUAAGUCAGGUAACGAGCGAGAUCCCUGCCUCUAGUUGCCACCAUUACUCUCAGGAGUAGUGGGGCGAAUUAGCGGGACCGCCGCAGUUAAUGCGGAGGAAGGAAGGGGCCACGGCAGGUCAGUAUGCCCCGAA
rnacentral:rRNA from 1 species